rfam:Agrilus planipennis Contig34918, whole genome shotgun sequence.
ACAUAAUCUAACGCGUAGUUUAUGCUUACUUUACAGUGAGCUCAUAAUGGGGAUGAUGCCAUAUCAGUAACUGUAAAUGUUUCGUCACGGCUGAAGAGGACCCUAGUUGGUCCUAAAACGGCCUGAGGUAGAGGGGUUUUAGUCGGUAGGUCCGAGGACUUCUUCCUCGGGAAUCCGACACUACCCAGUCGUACGGACGGCUGGGUGUCUUCUGAAGAUUUCCCCUCUUCCACGAAA